rnacentral:rRNA from 1 species
UACGUAGGGGGCUAGCGUUGUCCGGAUUUAUUGGGCGUAAAGAGCGUGUAGGCGGCCAGGUAGGUCUGCUGUGAAAACUCGAGGCUCAACCUCGAGACGUCGGCGGAAACCAUCUGGCUAGAGUCCGGAAGAGGAGAGUGGAAUUCCUGGUGUAGCGGUGAAAUGCGCAGAUAUCAGGAAGAACACCCCGUGGCGAAGGCGGCUCUCUGGGGACGGGUAC